CGGGACGGGGUGGAGUAAUGUCUGGGAAACUGCCUGAUGGAGGGGGGUAACUACUGGAAACGGUAGCUAAUACCGCAUAACGUCGCGAGACCAAAGAGGGGGACCUUCGGGCCUCUUGCCAUCGGAUGUGCCCAGAUGGGAUUAGCUAGUAGGUGGGGUAACGGCUCACCUAGGCGACGAUCCCUAGCUGGUCUGAGAGGAUGACCAGCCACACUGGAACUGAGACACGGUCCAG
rnacentral:rRNA from 1 species